rnacentral:lncRNA from 1 species
UUCCGUUGAAUGUUGUUCUGGUUCUUUCUGAUUUUCCUCAACUUCAGUAACCACAGGUUCACCUUUUACUGUUUCUGUAGGCUCAACUUCAGUAGCCACAGGUUCUUCUUUUACCGUUUCUGUAGCUUGAACUUCAGUAGCCACAGGUUCUUCUUUUACCAUUUCUCUAGGAUCAACUUCAGUAACCACAGGUUUGACUUUUACUGAUUCUGUCAGAUCAACUUCAGUAACCAGGGGUUCUUUUACUGUUUUUGUAAUUUCAACUUCUGUAGCCACAGCUUCUUCUUUUACUGUCUCUGUAGGAUCAACUUCAGUAACUAUAGGUUCGUCUUUUACCGUUUCUGUUGCCUCGAAUUCAGUAGCUGCAGGUUCAUCUUUUACCAUUUCUGUAGGCUCAACUACAGUUGUCACAGGUUCUUCUUUUACGGUUUCUGUAGCUUCAACUUCAGUAGCCACAGAUUCUUCUUUUACUGUUUCUGUAGCUUCAACUUCAGUAGCCACUGGUUCUUCUUUUACUGUUUCUGUAGCUUCAACUUCAGUAGCCACUGGUUCUUCUUUUACUGUUUCUGUAGCUUCAACUUCAGUAGCUGCAGGUUCGUCUUUUACCGUUUCUGUAGCCUCAACUUCAGUUGCCACAGGUUCUUCUUUUACCGUUUCUGUAGGCUCAACUUCAGUAGCCACGGGUUCUUCUUUUACUGUUUCUGUAGCUUCAGCUUCAGUAGCUAGAGGUUCUUCUUUUACCGUUUCUGUAGGAUCAACUUCAGUAACCACAGGUUCGUCUUUUACGGUUUCUGUAACCUUAACUUCAGUAGCUGCAGGUUCUUCUUUUACUGUUUCCGUAGCCUCAACUUCAGUAGCCACAAGUUCUUCUUUUAGUGUUUCUGUAGCCUCAACUUCAGUAACCACGGGUUCUUCUUUUACUAUCUCUGCA